ACUUUCAAUUCCUUAGUUCUUUUGUGAAUGUGGCUUUUCUCAUUCUGGUUCUUUGUCUGUUGCUUCCUUAAACCUAUGUUUCGCCUUGGAAACGUUGAGACAUUUUGUCAGUUCAUAUUGCUUGUUAGCAGGGAUGUUCCAAAAUUGAGAACCUUGUAACUUACGGUGUUCCAAAAGUGAGGACUGUAAGAGAAAGGAAGGGGAUGUGGAAACUUUAGUUCCCCCUUUGUUAAAUGAAAAAUGAUAAGAAGAAAAGAAAGGGAUGAGAAAACAUUUUCUCCUCACAGCCACUGCUUCUUUCUUCAUCAGAACACCUUGUUCGCUAUUUCUUGUUUUGUCUGCCAACUGAACAAGGAUGAAUGGGACUUUCUUCUUCUUUUGCGUAUCCUUAUUCUCCAACAAGAGUUAAUUUUCUGUAACACAGUAAGAAUUGCAAUAACUACAGAUUGUUUUAAGAAUGUGCCCAUUUUCAUUUUGUGCUUCUGUUUGUAGCUUCCUUUAAUUAAUGUGUAGCCUCACGAAUCAAUAAUAUUUUUAGUUGAAAAUUGCUUACUUUUGUGGGAUAAUUUGUGAAACUUGGAACUUUCUAACUCCGUUUUUGAACAGGGAAAACACUACUUGCAAAAACACUUGCACGCUUUGUGAAUGUGCCUUUUGUUAUUGCAGAUGCAACAACCUUAACACAGGCAAGUAAGAUGCUAUUCUGAUUUAAACUUUUCCCACGUUGAUUGUUUCUCUUCUUAUUUAGUGAAGAACAAAUGGGUGGACUGUGGAGUCUCUAUUUACUUACAAUAAUAUACUAUUAUACAAAACAAAGUAGAUCAUACAUAAGUACUUUAAAUUUGUUAGUAAUGCAAGUAGGAAAGGGAUAUAUGGAGUGAUAAAUUUCCAAGCAAUACUUGAAUAUGGGCUGAGAAAAUAGUGCCUAGAAAUGAUUAGAAAUAGUAUCAAGUUUCUCCCAUUAUAUCUGGAUUUAACUUGUUCCCAAGCGGCACUUGCAUCUACAAAUUAGAACAGCUCCUUUCUUGUUAUUUUAAGCUCCAAUAUGAGAGUAUAAGCACAGAAGAAUAAUUGGAAAUAAUUUUUAGUUGAUCAUUUCCACUGGGUGCUGGUACUUUCUGAAUUUACUUCUUGAUGUCCAACUGAUAAGCACUUUUUGCUAUCUUACAGGCUGGAUAUGUUGGUGAAGAUGUCGAAUCCAUAUUGUACAAGUUACUUACGGUAUGGUUCCUACUGCAGAGAUUCAUAAGUAUGCAAAUUACUGGCUAAGUUAAGCAUGUCCCUGUUCUACAUAUUUCUUGGUUGGCGAGAAGUUGGAUGUGUAGAUCAUGCUCAAAAAAAAAAAUGUUGGAUGUGUAGUUAAUAUCAGUACUUUUUUCAUCCCGAGUAGUUGGAUGUGUAGAUCAUUCUCAAAAAAAAAAAAGAUGUUGGAUGUGUAGUUAUUUAGCUGGUCCAUCGAAUCGGACCCUCCCAGUGGUCCCCUAUCCGGAUGAGGUAAUAGGGGGGAUUCUGUUGAGUCGAUCCAACGCCGUCUUUUGGCCAAACACUCCUUGCCUUCGGCCGAGGUCAAAGUAGAGAUUUUUUAUUGUGAUCAGUGUACCGCUACUGCAUUGGAUGUAAAGAAGAGUCGAAUCAUCCCAAAUGAGAAAAGGAAUUUUGAUAAAGCAUCUGCUUCCUACUGAAGAUAGGUCGCCAAACUACGACCGAGAGUUUCGCCGGAGAUUCCUUUUUCCUUUUCCACCGGCGAAAAUUCUCUUCCCCCGGAUUAAUGGAUUAUUCGGAUUCCAUGGAUCGAUGGAGAUCCUUUCUCCUCUAACCGCCGGACGAGCCAAUGAGCUUCUCAGUUAAUGAAGAGCUUUCCCUUGAAUCAGUACUUUUUUCAUCCUUCAGUUAAUAUGCCAUGGUUUUUAUUUUUUCCCCAUUUUAUUAUGUGCCGAUAGUUUCUUUAUAUAGUGAGGGUAUUAUUUUAACUUAGAAUAUAGUGUAGAAUCUUAUGAAGGUUUCGGUGGUGCUAGGAAUGUGAUAUUGUUGUGACAUGCAGGUUGCUGAAUUCAAUGUGCAAGCAGCACAACGAGGGAUGAUCUACAUUGAUGAAGUCGAUAAGAUAACAAAGAAGGUGCUUGUUUUGCAUCUUUUUUUGUUUAUUAUAAUUGUUUAUAGCUUAUUUGUAGAAAAGCUCUAUGCAUUUUGUCAAAAAAAUUUGAUCACUGUGUAAUCUUCUUUUUCAUCUGACAUUUAAGGGAUAUCACAACUGACACACCUAUUUUAUUCCUCUGCUUUCUGUCUUUGAAAAGGCUGAGAGCUUAAAUGUUAGCAGAGAUGUUUCUGGGGAAGGAGUUCAGCAGGCACUACUGAAAAUGCUCGAAGGAACUGUGAGUGCCCUUGGUCUUGGACCAUUUGUUAACUAUUGUUGUUUUCUAAUGAAUAAGUAUUUGUCGUCUCUCUUUGGCUAUUAAUAGCUUUUAAAAAAAAUAGCGUUCAUGUGGAUAAAUCCAAAGGCUGCUAUAGGUUGCAUUUCUUGUAUAUUAGGGGGAACCGAUUUAGCUUUGGCUGCAAAACCCUUGGUCUUGGCCCUUUUAUUAACUAUUGUUGUUUUCUAAUGAAUAAGUAUUUGUCGGCUCUCUUUGGCUAUUAAUAGCUUCCUCCUUAUCCUUAUUUAAAAAAAAAAAAUAGCUUCAGAUCUGUGUUCAACUAUGUUCAUGCUGAUAAAUCCAAAGGCUAUUAUAGGUUUCAUUUCUUGUAUAUUAGGGGAACCGUUUUAACUCUGGCUGCAAAUUUAUUGGAAAGCUAUUAAUGGGUAUGCAGUACUGACAGGUAUAAAUUUUUGUACAUAAAGUUAAUGCUGAACUGCAACCACUAUUCCAAUUUAAGCAGAAAAGAUGUAGACCUAGCGUAUUUGGAAGAAGUUGAACUUUUAAUGAUCAUGGACUGAAUUUCUGUUGGACACUAGUCUAAGAUACAAAACAUAAAAGAACUUGAACUGCUGUUGAAUUGGUCGUGAAUGAAAUACGGGCGUCCCAUAUUUCACUAGAUUUUGAUAUAAGGGAAGCUUGGACUAAGGUAAGAUUCCUAAAUAAGGAAAGUUAUUAAAUGGAGAAAUACUUAAAUUCCAAGCCUAGUUGCGAAGCAUAUAUAUAUAUACACACACGCGCGCGCGCACACACACACACUCUCUUAACCUAAACAUGGAAAAUGUAUGUAGAACAUUUUAUCAUAUACUAUCUAAUUCUCUUGACUGUGAACAUGCCCCUCGAACUGAAUGUAUUGAAACAAAUUGAGUUGCAAAUAAAAACAGGAAUGUCCUGGCAAGUAUGUUGACAAAAGUUACUGUUAAAAAAACAGACAUCUCAAUAAUCAUCGAAUCUCACCAGAAUACUGAUCAAUCACUAAAAAGAAAAGCAUUGCGAGAAUGCUUUCAUUCAAAAACUUGCAGUAAUUGCACAACGAAGAAUGUGCUUCUUGUGUCACACACGAAAAGGAAGUUAUCCAACAACUUCUAUGGGUGCAAUGUGUGCUUGAUUUUGUGAUUUAUGUCUCACAGAUUUUGUUAUCCAACAACUUUUACGGUUGUGAUUUAUGUGCUUGAUUUUGUGAUUUAUGUCUCCCAGGUGUUUAUAUUCUACAGUGCUGUAAUCAUGAUGUUUAUCAUUUGUGCUUUAAAAGAUUCACAGUUUAGAAUACGAAUCUUGCUCUUAUGUCACUUAAAAAAUUUCUUGGAAACAGCAUCGUCCUUAGCUAAUGAUGUGGGUCUGCUGCCUUUAUUACCAGUGGUAACAUAUAUGUCUCUUUAUCCAGAUUGUGAAUGUACCUGAAAAGGGACAAAGGAAGCAUCCUCGUGGUGAUAAUAUUCAGGUAAAGUGGAUGAGAAUGUGUUCAGUUCCUAUUUUCCUUUGUUACCAUUCUUAGAGUUUUGCUACCUUUUGUUUCUUGAUAAAGUUAUAAUUUUACCUCUGUAAAAGGAAAACGCUAGUAUACAAGAGGUAUACAAAAAAUAAAAUCUCACACAAAAAUAAACUUAGAACUCUGCUAAGUGGAUACCUUACCUUACCCAAAAAAAAAAUCACUCUGCUAAGUGGUAACAUGAUGUAUAGAGUCUGAACCUGCCCAAAUGCUGAAAGUUGGAAGGAGUAGUCUCAGGUUUUAAAUGGGAGGUCCUAUAAACAAGCAAACCAUCGUUUGUACUAAUUGGAAUCUCACUGGUGCUUUAAAAAUUUACAAAAAAGAACAUAAAUGGUCCCUGGAGCUGUACCACACUGUUUUCUAUCCCUUCAAUAUUUUUUUUGGUAAGGACGUUAAGUGCUAGAAGAAGGGCUUGAACCUCCGACCUUGUGGUUAACAGCCACGCGCUCUAAUCAACUGAGCUAUUCCAGCUAUCCCUUCAAUAUAUAUGAUUCUUUAUUAAAUAAGGAGAUAAUAAUGUAAAGAAUCAAUUGGUAAGUUAGAUGAGGCUAUGCCCAAGGUAAUUUUCCAUUGAGAGAUGUUAAACAUUGGAUCUCGUGCUCUGACUUAAAAGUAGUGAGACUUGCUGUAGAUGAACUUGUCGAUGAUCAGCAUCCUUGGGUCCACUUCUAGAUAAUCAGUUCAGACAAAAUAAAAUCAGGUGCUACAUGUAGACGCUUUCUUUUCUCUGAAUUGGAACCGAAUGUUUGGAAUCUCUUCUCUGUUUCCUUACAGAAAAAAUUAACAAAACACGAACUUCUUAUGCUUCACUUGUUGAAUUCAUUUUAUUUCUUCCCCUAUGAAUUCUCCAAAAGUUUUGCAACAUUUAUACAGAUAGAUACAAAAGACAUUCUUUUUAUCUGUGGUGGCGCAUUCAUUGAUUUGGAGAAAACUAUUUCAGAGAGGUAAUUUUAUUUUCUGAAUUCCUUCCUCUAAGUGCAUCAGGAACUAAGACUUUUGUGAACUAUGAGGGUUUACAAGGGGUUCUUAUUAUCAGACGACAGGAUUCUUCUAUUGGUUUUGGAGCUCCAGUUCGCGCCAACAUGAGAACUGGUGGAGUGACUAAUGCAACUGUAGCAUCAUCCUUGCUAGAAUCUGUAAGAAUGGAGAUCUAAUUCUAAGUUCCUAUGUUUUUAUAUGCUUAAGAUUGUGAGUUGUGCACAAUAGAAUUUAAUAUCUAGCCAGCUGCUAUUCCUGAAAGAUAUCACUUCAUGUUUCUAGGUAGAGAGUAGUGAUUUUAUUUCAUACGGCCUCAUACCAGAGUUUAUUGGGCGCUUUCCUAUUUUGGUUAGUUUGUCUGCAUUGACGGAGGACCAGCUUGUUCAGGUAUUUUUUGUUUUGCCUUUUAGUUUUUAUUUUGCUACUGAUGCUUGCACUAGGGUAGGCUGCCUACAUCACACCUUUUGUAGUGCAGCCCUUCCCCGGAUCAUGUGUGAAUGCAGGAUGCUUCCUGCAUUGGCUGCCCUGCCAUUUAAUUUUUAUUUUGCUGCUGUAAUCACGGCCUGCAUUGUAUAUGGAAAGCACGUUGCAACUCAUUCAGAAUGGGAGGAUGUCUCUCAUGCUGAUGGGUAGCAUCAAUUGGUUUACCUUCAGAAGCUUAGUGUACCUACUGGAGCAAUUGUCUUCCUUUUGUGAAAAAUACUUUAUCUGGAAUAAGCUCUUUUAAGCAGAGCAAAUACUGAUAGAAGUCCAGUUAGCUCUCUCGUCAUCAAUUAACAUGAAAGACCCAAGACACACAAAUGUUGAUAAUGAUUUGUAAUUCCUGCUUCAGUCCUCUGAUUGAAGAACUUGAUCCUUGCUUAUGAUCCAUCUUUCACCUAACAGAUUUUGGUUAUUGUUACUUAUUCCAUGCAAGUUUAGCGCUGAGUCGGGAUGUAGGCGGGGACGUGAGGCUUGGGCCACAGGUCAUUCCCAAGAGAGAUAGCUUCAAGUACCUUGGGUCGAUGAUUCAGGGGGACGGUGAGAUCGACGAGGACGUCACUCACAGCAUAGGGGCGGGCCGGAUAAAAUGGAGGCUUGCAUCUGGAGUCUUGUGUGACAAGAAAGUGUCACCCGAUACUCAAAGGUAAGUUUUAUAGAGCUGUAGUUAGACCGGCCAUGUUGUAUGGGGUAGAGUGUUGGCCGCUUAAGAACUACCAUAUCCGGAGGAUAAAAGUAGCAGACAUGCGGAUGUUGAGGUGGAUGCGCAGGCAUACUAGGAUGGACAAGAUUAGGAAUGAAGAUAUUCGGAAGAAGGUGGGCGUCGCCCCUGUGGAUGACAAGAUGCGGGAAGCGAGGCUCAGGUGGUUCGCACGUGCAGAGGAGAAGCCUCGAUGCACCGAUGAAGAGGUGUGAGCGGUUGGCCGUGGUGGGCACAAGAAAAGGUAGAGAGACCUAAGAAGUAUUAGGAAGAGUUGAUCAGGCAGGACAUGGCACGACUGUACAUUUCCGAUGACAUGGCCAUUGAUAGGAAGGGUUGGAGGUCAAGCAUUAGAGUGGUAGGGUAGGGGUAGUAACACUGUCCUUACUUCAUUCCGAGGGCGAUGCGGGGUUGGAUUAGGGUUGGUUUUAGAUGGUUUGCAGUUUAUGUUGGACCCGCACUAUUCUUGUGGUUUGUUCUAGUCCCGGGCCUUAGAUUAUGGUUACUGUUAUUGCAUGCUGUUCAUCUUUCGGUUUUAAUGUUUUUGUUAUUAUUACAAUUUCCACUGGAGUUACUAAUGAUUUCUCUCCUCUUUACUUUCGUCUUUCUGAGCCGAGGGUCUAUCAAACUGCCUCUCUGCCCCUAUCGGGGCAAGGGUAAGGUCUGCGUACACAUUACCUUCCCCAGACCCCACUAUAUGGAAUUUUACUGGGUAGUUGUUGGUGUUGUUUACUUAUUCCCUGCCUGAUUCCUUUUGUUCCAUGUAUUCCUUGCUUUGAUUGUUCUUCUCUUUCUUCGUAUUCUUUCUUUUUGACUUUUGGUCUUGAAGUGUUUAUUUUUCCAGAAAUUGACUUGGUGAAUUUAAUGUAUUUUUUUUCUCACAGGUCCUCACUGAACCCAAAAAUGCUCUUUGCAAGCAGUAUAAAAAACUAUUUAGCAUGAAUGGUGUAAGUACAAACUAUGUGUCCUUUCUCUCUUCCCCCCACUGACACCCACCUUUACAACCCUCCCACCCCAGGGACAAAAGGAACGCAAGCAUGAAAAUACACAUCCUCAAACCCUGAAGAGAGAGGUUACAUGUUGUAUUCAACUGAUUUGGACUUUCUCAUGCUUGUUUAGACUAAGCUACAUUUUACGGAGGGAGCAUUAAGGUUGAUUGCCAAGAAAGCAAUGGCUAAAAAUACUGGUGCUAGGGGAUUGAGAGCCAUACUUGAAAGCAUCUUAACUGAUGCUAUGUAUGAGGUAAACUAUGGACGAAUCUAUUUUCAUAGGAGCUUCACAAAAUCUUUAAGAUCAGGAGCAAGUGUUUUCGAACUUGAUUCGCUUGAAUGUGCAGAUUCCUGAUGUCAAAACUGGAGAUGAUAGAGUAGAUGCUACUGUGGUGGAUGAAGAGUCAGUAGGUGCAGUAAAUACACCUGGAUGUGGUGGGAAGGUACUUCGUGGAGAUGGUGCUCUGCAACGGUAUCUUGCUCAGGCACAUUCGCUAGAUCAAAGAGUAUGAUUUGAACUUUCACUUGUUUAUUUUAUUCCCUCGCUAUUGCCAUUUCUUUUCAGUAGAAUCAUUCUUCUCCUAAAGUAAGCUUAUAAUGUGUGAGGACAUAUACCCUCCGCAUACAGAAAAGGGCAUUUCCUGCCAGAACUUAUUUGGGUAAGCUACAUAUGCACACUGUUGACCUCUGGAUAAAUUUUAUUGCCAGGAAAAUCAUGGGAUGGCCGAAACCGAGCUGCAGGAGGGUGAAUCGGAAGUCUCAUCUAGAGCAAUAAGCAUGUAAGAUUAUUAAAAUCUCAGUUUUAGGAUGCAUACAUGAUUUUUUUUCUUUAGAAUCAUUUGUUGUAAAAUGUAAAUUCAUAAUACAGGGUGUUUAUCCCCUUGUAAACAACAGAGCAAUCUGCUUCCAGGAAAGUCAUAGAAAAUAGAAUAUGGUAUAAGGAAAAUGUAACCAUUCUAAUUUUUCGUCACCAGUGUACCAAUUCUUUAGCAAUGAGAAAACUUUGAUUCUUCAUAUUUCGCAGUGAUUUGUGGAGCAAGAAGGGUCUCUUUUGAAAACAAAUUAUAUUGAAAGGUAGAAUUAAUACCUAAUACAAAGUACAUUGGGACAAAGUGGAGAAAACAGAUAAUCUUUUCAAAACUAAAGCCUACAUCAAUAAAUUAUCACGAGUAGAAAGUUGUCAAAUUUUCAGAACUACUGGAACAACUUUUCAGGAGCAGAAGGUCGUCAAAACUAAAGAAGCAUAGUAAACUCUGCGCUUAUUUGAGUACUCGCUCACUGAUCUUAAGACGCUGUGAUGGGGUAAUUAGCCGACAGUAAUGCGGUCGCAAACACAUUUAGCCCAACACAAUACAACGCGCAUUUUAGUGAAAAUGACAAACUAAAUUAUGUGGAUGAUUCAAAAACUUCAGUGAAGUGAAAUAUGUUAAAGAAAGACAAAAUUACAGAAUAAUGCACUCCAUAAGUUGAUCUUGCAUUAUUUUAGUCCAGUUACAAGUUUGUAAAUGUAUAGCCAAAUAUUAAUAAGAUAUUUUCUUUUCGCAUUUCCUCUCAUUAAACAACCUCAUUUAUUCCUACUUACUCUUAUUGUAGCUCUUUCCUCAUUUUUCAUCCAUAAAUAUUUAAUUUAAUUAAUGAAAAAGAAUCAUAUGCAAACAAAACUGAAAAGAAAAAUUAGUUUCUCAUUCAGUAACACUCGUUCGUGCCUUCUUCCAUAACCAAUACUUCUCUGUUUUUUAAAGAAAAAAAACAUUUUAUAUAUCUUCAGGCCAUUCAGUCAACACUCAUUCGUGCCUUCUUCCACAUAUUUCUCUGUUUUUUGUAAAAAAAAUUGUAUAUCUUCAAGUUUAUGCAUAUCUAUUACAACUGCAAAAUGCAAAAACAAACGCGAGAAACUAAAAUCUCAUCUCCUUUAAUGCUAAUCUUGUUAAAUUUCAAUUAUGAUUUUGUGAGAAAUUUAGAGUGGAUAUUGUUUGAACUUAUUAGAAAUAGACUAAUUAGGUUAUAUACAAAGUUUGAAGUUAUUUGUUGGAGAUUUGGACUAGUUUUAUACAAGAACUUCCGGUGAAAAUUGUACAAAAAUUUCGUCAGCGAUGCUUAUACACUUUUAUACAAUGUUAUACACUUUUAUACAAAGAGGUACAAUAUGUAUAUAGUUGUAUAAAAGUGUAUAAAGAUGUAUAAUCACAGAUUAAAAAUAUUUUUGAUAUACUAUGUAUAUAGGUGUAUAUUGUAUAAAAGUGUAUAAAGAUAUAUAAUCACAGACUGUAAAUAUUCUUAAUAUACUAUGUAUAUAGAUGUAUAAGAAGAAUGAGAACAAGAAAAUGCGAGAAAUUCACCAAAUACCUGUAAAUAAUGUAUCAACCUUGGAAAUAAUAGUGUAUAAGUUAUGUUUAUACACUGUUAUAUACUAUUUAUACAAUAUUAUACAUUAUUUUACAAAUGAAUCAUAUCAAUGGAGUUUUACGUGUUCUUCUUCUUCUUCUUCUUCUUCUUCUUCUUCUUCUUCUUCUUCUUCUUCUUCUUCUUUGGGCAUCCUCUGAAGUUUAUCUCAAAUAUAGCCUAAAUCUACUCCAACUCACUUGAAAUUUAAGUUUUGAACUCAUCUUGAUGAUUUCAAUCAAAUCAAAAAACUCAAUUUCUGAAAUUUAACUCAAAUAUAGCCUAAAUCUACUCCAAAUCACUUGAAAUNNNNNNNNNNNNNNNNNNNNNNNNNNNNNNNNNNNNNNNNNNNNNNNNNNNNNNNNNNNNNNNNNNNNNNNNNNNNCGAAAUCUACUCCAAAUCACUUGAAAUUUGAGUUUUGAACUCAUAUUGAUGAUUCCAAUCAAUUGAGACAACACUCAUUAUAAACAACUACCAAAUAGAAAAACUCAAUUUCUAAAAUCGAAUCUUCGAACCUUUUGUAAUGGUGACUUUUAUUUUUCAAAUCCUUAAUUAACUAUUGAAAUUCGAAGAAGAAUUAAAGGAGAAUAUAACAAUAGUAGGGAAAUUUUGUAGUGCAAAAACUCACAUGGUAAGGAGAAGAUGAACGAUGAAAAAGGGGGAACGAAGAAAUAAGGGGUGGACUAACUGGUGAAAAUCAGAUUAUGUACAAUCUGGCUAUACUGGUUAAGGAAUUCAAACAUGAGCCAUUUUUUGAUGGGUUGUUGGGCCAAGUGAGAAGAGAAGUAACCCCUAUUUUACGUUAAUCAAGUUCAAGUUCAAGAGAUGCAAAAUAUACAAUCUUAAAGCUUUAACCCCUCCGUCCAAGUUUUGGUAGAUAGAUUUACCUGGUACCUGGUUAGAGGUAGCAAGUACGAAAUUCAUCGGCGUGCGCACAAAUUGACCUAUACACAAUAAUUUCUUGUACUAAGUUUUAUUUCUAACCACUAACAUAUUUAUCCAUGACGUCUUCGUAAUAUCAAUAUAUAUCGUAUUCGUUUCCCCCUCAUUCGUAUCUUAAGAAAAAAUUUAAAUUUAAGGUUUCAUUUACAUGAGUUUGAAGGAGAAAUAAAUGUCGACUCAUUUGCUAUUUCAUAAAAUGGAGGAUAGAAGCAAGCGUAUGGUGGGCUUAAGACAACAAAUGGUAUUAUUGAGAGUUCGAAGGAGACAUAAGCAUUGGUUAAUUCCAAGAAUAUGAUUUUUCUUAAGUUACGAAUGGGAGAAAAUUAAUUGAGAAAAGUAUAUCUCACUGAUUUCUUUGAUUUAAACAACUCACAUGAUUCUUAACAUCAAGAUCGUCCUCUCUAAUAUAACACGGAUCAAUGUAAAUUAGUAUAGUUUAGAUUGGUCAGAAGAACAAAGUUUGCACCAAAAAGGAAAAAGAUAAAAAAAUGCUACUAUGCAAUUUAUUAAACAAUAUAUCGCAUAUUGCAUUUUUAACAAAAGAAAAUAUAUAAAAGAGAAAAGUACAGAAAAGAAGAAGGUAAUGUUGCAAUGUGGAUAGAUAGGAUGUUAUCCAAGUCUGCACCAAUAGUUUUGAGAUGCAUGCCAUGUCAGCACUGUCAUCUGCCACGUCAGAAAAUCCUUCCUAUCAAAUUGCUGCAUCAGAUUGCAGAUGUUCCUUGGAAAUCCAAUAGAAGGCCGCCACUUGGCAGGUCUACAUCCACCAGAUCAAGCAUUUAGUGAGUAUCUCUACUCCAAAUACCAUCCUCAAUUUCUCAAUUCUCAUCAUCAGCAAUUCUUCCUCUAACAACUGAUCUCAGCCUCAGCCUCAGACUCCUCCGGCUUCAUCGUUAGCAAUGGCUGCAGCUACCUCCCUCUACGUCUCGGAAAUGUUGGGAAGUCCGGUCAAGUUGAGCGGUGUAGCGAGGCCAGCUGCUCCAACUCCAUCUUCCCCUGCUACCUUCAAAACUGUUGCCCUCUUCAAAAAGAAGGCUGCUGCUGCCCCUGCUAAGAAGGCUGUUGCUGUCGCCCCUGCUGACGAGGAGCUCGCCAAGUGGUACGGUGAGUAACAUACUUACUCCUUCCGUUUCAUUUUUUAUGACUGUAUUUGACUAAACCGUCUAAAAAAAGCCGCUGCUCUGCUGAAACACACUUAUUAUGUUGGAACUUCAAUACAAAAGUUGCAGUAUAAUAUGCGGGAGUUCUGCAUUUAAACUUCCAGCAUAUUAUAUUGAACUUUCGCACAUUAUCAAAUUUCAACACAUUAAAGGUCAUAAGUAAAAAAUUCGAACUUCAGCAUAUUAUGGCAAAAAUAUUUCUGGAUUUUUAAGGGUGAUUUUGUUCAGAUUUUAUUUUGACAUGAUAAAAAUAGCUAAAUUUCAAUUACUUUUGUAACAGUGACUAUUUUCUAUGGUUAUUUUUAUUUUUUCCCUGAAACUGAUGAAGUACUCAAUUACAUUUUCGGUCUUUAUUUUCCCUAAUUAACUGCCUUCAUAUGCUUGUUGCUAUAAAUCCGUACGUACUACAAUAAUGUAAAAUAGAACCUUUAGAGAUUCCCAGUCCCUGUAGUCUCCGUUUUACAACUUCCCUUGUAUUCAUUUGCUUACUCUCGAUAUCUGAAUACUUACAGGACCUGACAGAAGAAUUUUCCUACCCGACGGUCUCUUGGACAGAUCAGAAAUCCCUGAGUAUUUGAACGGAGAAGUUCCCGGAGAGUAAGCUUCCUUAAUCUUUGCGUCUUUUUGCUAGAAUUGCAUGCCAAUAUAUACAAACAUGGAAUGAAUUUACGAGUAUAAUAAAUUUUCUGUAUCUGCUGCAGCUACGGUUAUGAUCCUUUUGGUCUCAGCAAGAAGCCAGAAGACUUCGCUAAGUAAGUGUGGUGACACAUUAAUUAAGUAUACUGUCAGCCAAUUGCGAGCCGUGGAAACAGUCCUUGCAGAAAUGCAGGGUAAGGCUGCGAACAAUAUAAUAGACCCGGGUGGUCCGGCCCUUCACCAGACCCCGUGCAUAGCGAGAGCUUGGUGUACCGUGCUACCUUUUUUAUUCUCAGCCAAUUUCAUUUGUGUUAAUAUGCUCGGGUCCAUUGCAGAUAUCAGGCAUAUGAGCUGAUCCACGCCAGAUGGGCUAUGCUCGGUGCUGCUGGAUUUGUUAUCCCUGAAGCCUUCAACAAAUUUGGUGCUGACUGUGGUCCUGAAGCUGUAUGGUUCAAGGUAUAUAUUGCCAUCAAUCGCACCUUUCAUUUUCUUAAGAAUUUAAUUUUACAAGGAGUAAACAAUACUUAUUUCCUCGUUUAUCUCGUGUCUAGACUGGUGCAUUACUUCUAGAUGGAAACACAUUGAAUUACUUUGGAAAGAACAUUCCCAUCAAUCUUGUUGUUGCUGUCGUCGCGGAGGUUGUUCUUCUUGGUGGUGCUGAGUACUACAGAAUUACUAAUGGCUUGGUGAGCUCCCCUUCACUUCUUAGUGACUAGUUUGCGACAUUAAUGUUGGAGUUACACAGCUCAAGCAUACUCUUAAUAUGGUGUGACAUUAUCCGCUUUGGGCAAAGCUCGUACUGUUUUCUCCAAAGGCUUCAUACCCAUAGGCAGACGUAUGUUAUACAAAGAUGGAUCAUUAGCACACGUAAAGUUUACCAAAAAUUCUAUGUUUACUUGUAAAUAUUAUUAGAAAAUAGUGAUAUAUUAGUAGUUGGCACCCUAUAUAUAAAGCAGAUUUUGGUUGAAUCCAAAAGUGCACCCGCAACCUUCAAAUCCUAGGUAUGACUAGGUCCGCUGCUAGUUAUAGCCAUUAAGAUAGUCAUACACCUUAUAUGUAGCUUCCAAAUCCUUUCAACGACCAAUGUGAGACUUUAGUCGCAAUCUAACAAUAUCAUAUACUGAUAAAUUUAUUAGACUGUUGAUCUAUUAAAUUGUAUUGACAUAUAGGAUUUGGAGGACAAGCUACACCCAGGUGGUCCAUUUGAUCCAUUAGGCUUGGCAAAGGACCCAGACCAGGCAGCAAUAUUGAAAGUAAAAGAAAUCAAGAAUGGAAGACUAGCCAUGUUUGCUAUGCUUGGUUUCUUCAUCCAAGCCUAUGUGACAGGACAAGGUCCAGUCGAGAAUUUGGCUGCCCAUUUGAGCGACCCCUUUGGCAACAACUUGCUCACUGUCAUUGGUGGAACUGCUGAAAGAGUCCCCACUCUGUAAUUUUACAAUUCGGCAAUAUGCUAUACAUUUUGAUGCACUUGAUCAGAGCUGUACUAUGUGAAAAAUUAAACCAGCUUGUAGUUCAAGACAGACUGUACUUAAUUUCAUAGAGCUUCAGUACUGGCCACAUUCGUUCUUCAAUAUUCUAAUCAUAUAACGUCGUUCCUCAUAUUCAAUUAUAUUUCAGUUUUGACAAACUUGCUUGCAUUCUCUGGCUAUAAACUGAUGCGCUGGAUUAGUGUUGGAUGCGGUUCCUCUCCAUUGACCUUACCACCAUUUCCUCAAGUACUUAUUUUUGGAUGAGCG
rnacentral:lncRNA from 1 species